rnacentral:rRNA from 1 species
GGGGCUACCAUGCAAGUCGAGCGGAUGAGAGGAGCUUGCUCCUUGAUUUAGCGGCGGACGGGUGAGUAAUGCCUAGGAAUCUGCCUGGUAGUGGGGGAUAACGUUCCGAAAGGAACGCUAAUACCGCAUACGUCCUACGGGAGAAAGCAGGGGACCUUCGGGCCUUGCGCUAUCAGAUGAGCCUAGGUCGGAUUAGCUAGUUGGUGAGGUAAUGGCUCACCAAGGCGACGAUCCGUAACUGGUCUGAGAGGAUGAUCAGUCACACUGGAACUGAGACACGGUCCAGACUCCUACGGGAGGCAGCAGUGGGGAAUAUUGGACAAUGGGCGAAAGCCUGAUCCAGCCAUGCCGCGUGUGUGAAGAAGGUCUUCGGAUUGUAAAGCACUUUAAGUUGGGAGGAAGGGCAUUAACCUAAUACGUUAGUGUUUUGACGUUACCGACAGAAUAAGCACCGGCUAACUUCGUGCCAGCAGCCGCGGUAAUACGAAGGGUGCAAGCGUUAAUCGGAAUUACUGGGCGUAAAGCGCGCGUAGGUGGUUCGUUAAGUUGGAUGUGAAAGCCCCGGGCUCAACCUGGGAACUGCAUCCAAAACUGGCGAGCUAGAGUACGGUAGAGGGUGGUGGAAUUUCCUGUGUAGCGGUGAAAUGCGUAGAUAUAGGAAGGAACACCAGUGGCGAAGGCGACCACCUGGACUGAUACUGACACUGAGGUGCGAAAGCGUGGGGAGCAAACAGGAUUAGAUACCCUGGUAGUCCACGCCGUAAACGAUGUCAACUAGCCGUUGGGUUCCUUGAGAACUUAGUGGCGCAGCUAACGCAUUAAGUUGACCGCCUGGGGAGUACGGCCG